CGGGUACUGCCGCUGGCGUUGCUGCUAGCGGCGGCAACGCUGUGUGCUCGGCCAGGCGCCGCCGAGCCCUGCGCCGCGCCCUGCUCGUGCCGCCGCGGCCUGCUGGACUGCAGCCGGCAGCGCCUGCCCAGCGGGCCGGGCCCACGGAGGAUCCCGCCGCUGCCCGCCGGCACCACGGGGCUAGAUUUAAGUCAUAAUCAUUUGUUAUCAUCUAACUGGAGCAUUGGUUUGUCUGUCCAUACUCUGCAAGAAGUGAAAAUGAAUUACAAUGAGCUAAGUGAAAUUCCGUAUUUUGGAGAAACAACUUCCAAUAUAACCCUUCUCUCAUUGGUGCACAAUACCAUUCCAGAAAUAAAUGCUGAGCAACUCCAGGUCUACCUUUCAUUGGAAAAUCUAGAUCUUAGUUCUAAUCUUAUCUCAGAAAUUAAAGCCUCUUCUUUUCCACGAAUGCAACUGAAGUACCUGAAUCUGAGUAACAACAGAAUAACUACUCUGGAAGCAGGUUGCCUUGAUAAUUUAUCUAGCUCACUAAUGGUGAUAAAACUGAACAGAAAUAGGAUUAGUGUGAUUCCACCAAAGAUCUUCAGAUUGCCUCAUGUGCAGUUUCUGGAAUUGAAAAGGAACCGGAUUAAAAUAGUGGAAAGUCUUACAUUCCAAGGACUGGAAUCCUUAAAAUCCUUGAAAAUGCAGCGCAAUGGGAUUAGCAGACUAAUGGAUGGAGCAUUCUUUGGCCUGGGUAAUAUAGAGGAAUUAGAACUGGAACAUAAUAACUUAACAGAAGUUAACAAGGGCUGGUUGUAUGGGCUGCGGACAUUGCAACAACUCUAUGUUAGCCAGAAUUCCAUCACCAGGAUCAGUCCAGAUGCAUGGGAAUUCUGCCAAAGCCUUGCUGAGCUAGACUUGUCGUACAAUCAGCUCACUCGCCUCAAGGAAUCUGCCUUUGUGGGACUUGGCUUACUGGAGAAACUAAACCUGGGUGACAAUCGUAUCAGUCACAUUGCCGAUGGUGUCUUUAGAAGUCUGACAAAUCUUCAAACCUUGGACUUGCGGAACAAUGAGAUCUCCUGGGCCAUAGAAGAUGCAAAUGAAGCUUUUGUGGGACUCGGCAGGCUGGAUAAACUGAUCUUGCAAGGAAACCAAAUCAAGUCAAUUACCAAAAAAGCAUUCUCUGGUCUUGAAGGACUUGAAUAUCUAGAUUUAAGCAACAAUGCAGUAAUGUCCAUACAAGAAAAUGCCUUUGCCCAGGCUGAGCUGAAGGAGCUAGUGUUGAACACGAGCAGUUUGCUCUGUGAUUGCCAGUUGAAGUGGCUGCCCCAGUGGCUCAGUGAGAGCCAUUUGCUGCAGGCUGUAAAUGUCAGCUGUGCUCACCCUGAGUGGCUGGCAGGACAAAGCCUUCUCAGUGUGGACCCUGAUGACUUUGUCUGUGAUMAUUUCCCCAAACCGCAGAUCAGAGUCCACCCAGAGACCACAGUGGCCCUGCGAGGCUCGAAUGUGACCCUGAUGUGCAUUGCUGUGAGCAGCAGUGAUUCACCCAUGGCCACGGCCUGGCGCAAAGACAGCGAGGUUCUCUAUGAUGCAGAGGUUGAGAAUUUUGCCAGGUACCAGCAGCAAAGUGGGGAGGUGCUGGAAUAUACCACUGUACUACACCUCUUCAAUGUGAAUUUCACUGAUGAGGGGAAAUACCAGUGCAUUGUCACCAAUCACUUCGGCUCCAAUUAUUCCAGCAAAGCCAAGCUGACUGUCAAUGAGCUCCCUUCUUUCCUGAAAACCCCCAUGGAUCUCACUAUCCGCACCGGGGCAAUGGCCCGGCUGGAGUGUGCUGCCGAGGGCCACCCCCCGCCACAGAUCUCCUGGCAGAAGGAUGGUGGCACAGACUUCCCUGCUGCAAGAGAGAGGAGGAUGCAUGUCAUGCCUGAGGACGAUGUGUUCUUCAUUGCAAAUGUGAAGAUGGAAGACAUGGGGAUCUACAGCUGCAUGGCCCAGAACAUCGCAGGGGGACUCUCAGCAAAUGCUACCCUCACUGUGCUGGAAACGCCUUCCUUCAUGAGGCCCCUGGAGGACAGGACAGUGACUCGAGGUGAAACUGCUGUCCUGCAGUGCAUAGCUGGUGGCAGUCCUGCCCCUCGCCUCAACUGGACCAAGGACGAUGGUCCUUUGACAGUCACCGAGAGGCAUUUCUUCGCUGCUGCAAAUCAGCUCCUCAUCAUUGUGGAUACAGGGUUGGAGGAUGCUGGGAAGUACACGUGCAUCAUGUCCAACACUCUGGGGACUGAGCGUGGCCACAUUUACCUAAAUGUCCUGGCUUCCCCCAACUGUGAUUCUUCCCAGAGUGGCAUUGUGCAUGAGGAGGAUGGCUGGACAACCAUAGGGAUCGUGAUUAUUGUUGUCGUGUGUUGUGUGGUGGGAACGUCCUUGGUGUGGGUUAUUGUCAUUUAUCACAUGAGGAGGAAGAACGAAGACUACAGCAUCACUAACACAGAGGAAAUGAACCUACCUGCUGACAUUCCCAGCUACCUGUCCUCCCAAGGAACACUGUCUGAGCCUCAGGAAGGCUACAGUAACUUGGAGGCAGGGAGCCAUCAGCAGCUGAUGCCUCCAUCGGGCAGCUACCUGCACAAAGGCUCUGAUGGUGGUGCAGCGCCAUUAGUGAUCUGCUCAGAUUGUUAUGACAAUGCCAACAUCUACUCCCGGGCCCGACAGUACUGUCCCUAUGCCUUCAUCACUGAGGAGGAUCCCCUGGAUCAAACACUCCCAAGUCUCAUGGUGCAGAUGCCCAAGGAAACGUACACAGCAUGCACUCAGAAUGAAACCAGUGCUCUGGAUAAUCUUCUAGUAGACAGAGACAUACCUGUCUUCCUUACCAACCAUGACAAAAAAAGUGAUAAGAAAAUCUCCUCCCAGCAGAUGAAUGAGCCCUUCCAGGUUCCUCUGUGGGGAGGCAGCAAAGACUUGGCUUGCUCUCACCCCCAAUUCCUGCGCCAUCCAUUGGCCCGUGAAGCCCCACAGCCACUCCAAAGCGAUGRUAUCGCCAGCAGUGACCGGGACCAGGCGUCACCCAGAGCCUGUCCCAGGCUUCAGGAGCAGAAUUUUGAUUAUAACAGGACACAGAACAUUCAUGACCAGAGUGAAGCCACGUAAAACACUCACAAAGCCUUGAAAGCAAAUCCAGAUUGACUGACUGUGUUUACUACCUCAGGACUAACCCCACAGCCAAAGACACUCGCGUAUGUGUCUGCAGUGUAUGUGUCUGCAGUUACUAAACAGUCGGGCUCUCUUGGAGGAGGUGGCACAUGCCCUUUUUUCUGCGAUUUCUCCAUGGGAAAAUGGGAACAUGCACCAGAGAACAUGUGGAUAAUUAAUGCCAUCUACAAAAACAGCAUUAAAACAUGAUUGUGUGAUGCUGGAAGCAGCCUUUGUGGUGGUGCAUGCUUUGGAAAGCUCCCAAGAGAAUUUGCAGUUCAAGAACAGUGAUUUGCCUUCUUUGAAGCAAACCAUCAGGACCUCCUCAUGGAAUUCCCCAGGAACUUUUUCCUGCAGGAAGCACCUGGACCCUUUUUGGAAGAUGGUUGGGGUACUUCUUCCAUGCUGCUGUUGACUCUGGACCAGAAGCCUUGUGUUCYCCACAGUUUUCUCCUGCUAUUCCAGUGCUGCCCACCUGCACUUUGGAUCCUCUGAAAAGGAGAUUUGCUUUCCAACAACAAACUGCGCGAGUUGGUGGGGGUAUCCCCCACAUACUUACUGACUGUGGGACGUGCUGCCAGCUACAUCCCUCCUGAAAACCAUUUGGUUUACUGGGAACACCAAGAUGGAGAUCAUCACCCCAGAGAGCAUCAGCUGCCUCCAGCCAGACAUUGACAGCAUAGGAGCACCGAGUCCCAGCAGCACGGAGUAGAUGAUGGCAGAGAUCACACAGGGAUGUCUGUUGUUGCAGGCAGUGAUGGGCACGUGAAUGUGACUGUUCACCUGGGCUUCCUCAGGGCUCUGGAUUCCAGCUCAUCGCUUGUGGAUUGGGGCUCUCAUUCCAGCACRUCUGUCUUGCCAAAGGCAGGCCUUCUCUGAACAAGAUCCUCCUGCGCGUAACUUGCGUGUAACACAGGAUAACCGCUCUGCUCAUCACUUGGAAGGUUUAAUAGGUCUUCUGAAGGCUUACCAAUGUAAUUCAGCCCAGCAGCUGGAAACAUCUCUGCUGUCCUUGCACAGAUUUAUCACUGACACCAUUUGCCUGACACUGGAUAUUGCAGGAACAUUUAUUGAGCAGAGGGCUGUGAUUUGUGACUUGCCAGAGGGGAUUUUGGGAUGCAGAAAUAAAUGUGUCCUGCUCCAUUAAUAGCUAACAGGCUGCUGAGAGGACCCUGGCAGCAUGCGCGUGGCUUGGGAAAGAUCUGGCUGAACUGGCAACUCGAGGAGCCUGGAUAGCACAGAAGGUGUCCUCUCUCCCUUGGAUGCUCCAACAUGGCCUGAUCCAGAGAAGAAGUUUUGGCUGAGCCUCUGCUUGCUGAGCUCUGGUAUCCCUGUCCAGGCUGUUCAACCUCAGGACAGUGCUUCUGACAACGAGGGGCUCUCGGUGUCCUUCCAAGUGGGAUGUCACUCUUGCAUCUGGUGUUUCUCCUGCCUGUGUUGGCACUACYCACAGCUGCAGAGCUCUGCGGUUCCUUGGCAGUGCUGGGCUGGGGCUCUGCCAGUGACUUUCUGGAGAGGUUUUCCCUCUGCUGCUUUCCAAGGCAGCACCCACCAGGCCAGUCGGGCUGCCCAAAGCUACUGCAAUAUUUGUGAGCAGGUUGCAUAAUGGSUGUCAUGACCCUGCAGUGACUUAUGCUAAACCAAGUGCCUGGAGGAAGCAGGGGCUUCCAGCCUGGAAAAGAUGAUUGUCAGGCUCUGCUGGGCCCUGGCUCAAGAGGGGACAGCUAUGCCUGCUGUGGGCUCAUGGUACUAGGUCGUGCCCUGAUGGAUGUGCAAGGUUACUUGUGUAACUCGUACUUGUGACCCUGGUGUACACUGCCCCUCCCCUGGGCUCUGUGGCUUUGGAGCUGGCAAGCUGCUGAGCUGGCUGAGGUGACUCCAGGGUCCUCUCAUCCUCCCUGUGUCUACAUCCCAAAGCUGAGAUUCCAUGGUAGCCAGGCUGCCCCAUGGGCACUGGUACCUGGCUCCCUGCUGCAGUCCUGCCCUCGCUUUCAGCCUCUGCUCAGGCCUGACAGUUCUGUAUUUCUUGCUCUUGGUUAGGGAACAUGAGGUUUUUGACAGCUGCCUUUGCCAUUAUUCUUCCCUUAAUGCUGUUGUUGUUUUGCGUUACUGUCAAAUCGCAUCUUAAUAAAGUCCUUCCCCUACUKUCAGCAGCAGAUGAGGCACACAAGGGAUUGAGUAAUCUCCUGGC